rnacentral:tRNA from 4 species
GCACCCGUGGCUCAACUGGAUAGAGCAUCGCCCUCCGAAGGCGGGGACUGCGCGUUCGAAUCGCGCCGGGUGCGCCA